AUCGAGUUUUGCUGUGAUGGAAUCAAAACAAAUGGUAGCAGGGCAUUAUCUUCAAAGUUAACACAUACAUUUUCAAAUGUAGUUAUAGAUCUAAAAUAGCCAUGGCUUUUCUCUGGGACACCGGAAGGCAGAAGCUGAGUGCCCUCUUGGCUGUUCUGGUUGUCAUAGAGAUCUUUAUAAUCUGUGUCGUUGUUCGUUAU